rnacentral:lncRNA from 1 species
ACGAGUCAAAUCUUUCUACCUAAGGGCAUAGUUGGGUUCUUGGAAUAAGUGACACAUAGGAGAAGUCGGAUCUGAGCUCUUUUGUCACACAAGUGCUAACGAACAGAAAAUGAGCCACGACAGUUAAACACUGAAUGGAUCGCAAUGUGCUUUUCCCUUGGUUUCCCAUAAAAACGAAAAUGAAACACCUUGUGCAAAAAAAUAGGAUACGCUUUUACUGGUUGGUUUAAUGAGAGAGAACCACUUUUGGCCAUUAUCACCUUACGUUACUACAAAUCCUGAAAGGAAAGCAGCUUUGAGUCUUGGGCUCGGCUGAACCCCCUGCAUGGACCGGGGCUAACAGUACCCUCUACGACUCCCACAGGUCUCUCUUUGUGUCCAGAUGGAUGGCGACUGUGAGUCAGCAACGCCAGCCAAGACUUCCUCGCCUUUACCGUGGCAUUGGGGCAGUUUUUCAGGCUCUCUACGGAGAGAGAAGUGGGCCAGUAAGGGAGAGGGCUAGAGAGAGGACACCAGUUUACAUAGGGUUGACUUUCACUUGUGUGUAGUAGCAGUUCAGAAUUUAAAAGAAAUUUCCUUGCAGAAAGAAUGUCUUCCUCUUGGCCCCUCUUAAUUUUUUAUGUUUUUAUUUAUUUUUAAUCUUUGGCAGCAUAGAACUGAUUGUGGUCCUCCGAUGCAUUUCUGGUGUCGAGAACUUCCUUUCUCAACCUCCCCUUCCCCCAUAGCCAUCCCCACAAGCUGUCCCAUCAAGGAAUAUUUCAGGUGUAAACUGAAUAUGCCACGAGGCCUCCUCUUCAUGAAGUGCUUGGUUGGCCUACGUAUGGGUGGCAGGCUGGACACAGCUGAAUCGUCUUUCUGGGUCACCCUGUAACUCAAGUCCCCUUUCCCGUUCUCUCCCAACGCUACUUAUCCGCAGGAAUUGGAUGCCGGCUGGCCCCCCUGAUGGUUCCUGGCCUAGGGGCUGUCAUGGCAGAGGGAAGCCACCAAGGUGCCAUUGAGGAUUGGUGUCUGGCUCUCUAUGGGCAAGAGCGCCAGGGGACACACAGUGGGACCGGAACCUUCCAGAAUGUCUCCUCAGUCAGGUUUUCAAGGGGGAGGGAAUGCGGAGACAGGAGAAAAAAAGUGCUGAGGGCCAAAGCUGGUGCAGGGUGACGGUGCGUCUGGGUAAGGCAAAUGAGAGGCAGUGAGGUGAUCUCAGAAUGGCGUUGAGGCGGUCAGAUUAGGCCGGGCUGGCUCACACGAGGGUCCCGGGCUUGGCUUUUUCCUGCCCGUACCACUGGACAUCAGCUAGUUCUGGAUAGAGGGAGGAAUCCAGGAAACAGCUAUCAUUGUAGCUCCUGUGGGAGGCCCAAGAAAGGAGAUGAGACAGUUAGUUAGUGGAGGAGGAUGGGUUCAGCCAGGCCUGCACUGAGAAGGAUAUGUUCACCUUGACAGGGCCCUGUGCUAAUCACGAGUCUUUCCUGUUCGGAGCAGUGAGGCCUGAGACCCUCAACAGUGCUGUGUGUACAGAAGGCCCCCAGAAUCCACACAAAGGGGCCGCCUGAAACCUAGAGCAUUUGUGAAGGAGGAAAAUGGAAGGAACAACUGGAUGUUGUAAAUGUUUCUCAUCUGGCCUUAAAAUCCAUGAAAGCUGGAAAAUCACAAGGCAUCUGUGCAUAUACUGGUGGAUUUUAAUGAGAGUCCUGUGUUUGGAGCACCAGAAAUAAACCAGCUUCAGAAGCAAAGUAAGAAAAGGCCCUUGAUUAUGACACUGGC